rnacentral:misc_RNA from 1 species
AGUCGUAACAAGGUUUCCGUAGGUGAACCUGCGGAAGGAUCAUUACCGAGUGCAGGUCUGCCCCCGGGCAGGCCUAACCUCCCACCCGUGAAUACCUGACCAACGUUGCUUCGGCGGUGCGCCCCCCCGGGGGUAGCCGCCGGAGACCACACCGAACCUCCUGUCUUUAGUGUUGUCUGAGCUUGAUAGCAAACCUAUUAAAACUUUCAACAAUGGAUCUCUUGGUUCCGGCAUCGAUGAAGAACGCAGCGAACUGCGAUAAGUAAUGUGAAUUGCAGAAUUCAGUGAAUCAUCGAGUCUUUGAACGCACAUUGCGCCCCCUGGCAUUCCGGGGGGCAUGCCUGUCCGAGCGUCAUUGCUGCCCUUCAAGCCCGGCUUGUGUGUUGGGUCGUCGUCCCCCCCGGGGGACGGGCCCGAAAGGCAGCGGCGGCACCGCGUCCGGUCCUCGAGCGUAUGGGGCUUUGUCACCCGCUCGAUUAGGGCCGGCCGGGCGCCAGCCGGCGUCUCCAACCUUCUAUUUUACCAGGUUGACCUCGGAUCAGGUAGGGAUACCCGCUGAACCUAAGCAUAUCA